GGAGAGGUGUCCGAGCGGCCGAAGGAGCACGACUGGAAAUCGUGUAUACGUGGAAGCGUAUCCAGGGUUCAAAUCCCUGCCUCUCCGCCA
rnacentral:tRNA from 1 species